ensembl:snRNA LOC120099435 U7 small nuclear RNA
UAGUAAUUCCUUUUUAGAAUUUGUUUGGCAGGUUUUCUGACAUUUGUCAGAAAGUCCAC